rnacentral:rRNA from 1 species
AGUGAACGCUGGCGGUAGGCCUAACACAUGCAAGUCGAACGGCAGCACAGGAGAGCUUGCUCUCUGGGUGGCGAGUGGCGGACGGGUGAGGAAUACAUCGGAAUCUACUCUGUCGCGGGGGAUAACGUAGGGAAACUUACGCUAAUACCGCAUACGACCUACGGGUGAAAGCAGGGGACCUUCGGGCCUUGCGCGAUUGAAUGAGCCGAUGUCGGAUUAGCUAGUUGGCGGGGUAAAGGCCCACCAAGGCGACGAUCCGUAGCUGGUCUGAGAGGAUGAUCAGCCACACUGGAAAUGAGACACGGUGCAGACUCCUACGGGGGGCAGCAGUGGGGAAUAUUGGACAAUGGGCGCAAGGCUGAUCCAGCCAUACCGCGUGGGUGAAGAAGGCCUUCGGGUUGUAAAGCCCUUUUGUUGGGAAAGAAAUCCAGCUGGCUAAUACCCGGUUGGGAUGACGGUACCCAAAGAAUAAGCACCGGCUAACUUCGUGCCAGCCGCCGCCGUAA